rnacentral:rRNA from 1 species
UACGGAGGAUGCAAGCGUUAUCCGGAAUGAUUGGGCGUAAAGCGCACGCAGGUGGCUGAGUCAGUCGCUUGUGAAAGCCCUGGGCUUAACCUGGGAAUUGCAGUCGAUACUACUCAGCUAGAGUAUGGGAGAGGUGAGUGGAAUUCCCAGUGUAGCGGUGAAAUGCGUAGAUAUUGGGAGGAACACCAGUGGCGAAGGCGGCUCACUGGACCGGUACUGACGCUGAUGCGCGAAAGCGUGGGGAGCAAACGGG